rnacentral:rRNA from 1 species
UACGGGGGGGUAAGCGUUGUUCGGAAUUACUGGGCGUAAAGGGCUCGUAGGCGGCCAACUAAGUCAUACGUGAAAUCCCUCAGCUUAACUGGGGAACUGCGUGUGAUACUGGAUGGCUUGGAUUUGGGAGAGGGAUGCGGAAUUCCAGGUGUAGCGGUGAAAUGCGCAGAUAUCAGGAGGAACACCGGUGGCGAAGGCGGAUCUCUGGGCCUUACCUGACGCUCAGGCGCGAAAGCUAGGGAGCGAACUGG